CCCCUUCCUCUGCUCCCUGCUUCCUUCUGCCUCUCUGGGGGGAAAGCAGAUCUUUAGAACUAAUACAAACCCACAGAUUUUCAGAUUUUGGAUGUUUGGUUUGGGUUUUUUUAAGGUGGAUGUAUUUUUUAGUCUCAAAGUUUGCACUAAAGAGAAGGCGGCUGGAAAUGUGUCCUGAGCUGAAUGUUUUAAGGAGGACUCAAGCCCAUCACCAAACACAGACCCCUGUGAUUCCCCCUUAUGUGUGUUCAUGGACAAUUCCAUUAAUCCAUCCACCAGUUAAACAAGUUUGGGCUCUGUGUUGGCACAACAGCACCCCUCCAAGAGGGCUACCAGAUUUGUUCUCCUCUGCCAGCCCACUGGGGUGGAAAAUACACGUUCAACAAAAUAGGCUCCCAGUCCUGGCUGGGUCGUAGGGCUGCUUUCCCCAGAACACCACGCUCAUGUUGAAGAUUGAAUGAGGACUCUGAGGGGUCUGGACAGGGCACCAGCAGCCCCACAGGAUUUGGGAGGUGUCCACUCACAGCAAGGCUGUCCUGGAUGGUGCUGCUGACCGGCUUCAUCUUACCAAGGGGUCACACAUCCAGCCCAGCAGGACAUUCCUGUUUGCCUGGCACACCAUGGCAUGUGUGGCUGUGCUUGUGCCAGUGUGGCCUGAGCAGGCAGAGGAGGAUGCUCAUGGGGACAACACGUGAAGGUGUGUCCUGCCUGGCACUAGGGGACACCAGGACUGCAGCUGGGGUUUCCCUCCAGCUCUGUGGAAAUAUGUUUAAGGCUGGCCCAUGCAAAGUGCCUGCUAGGGCUGGUCCCUGGCCCUUGGCAGCCCUGGGCAUGCCACCAACCUGCCUGGCAUCUGCUGCCAUCCUUCUCCCUGGCAAAGCCUCUGAUGGAGCAAUUUCAUCCUCCAUGUCCCACCCAGCCUGGUCCAGCACCAUCCUUGUCCCAUUCUUUGUGUGCCUUUAUCUCGUGUAGGGUUUUACCUUUUUUGCCCCGUUUCCCUGCAUCUGCCAGUGUGAGUUCAACAUCUCCCUGUUCCGUGUUGUUGGUGUGAAUGAACAGAAUCAAGAAACUUGACUAAAAUGAACAUUUUGGAUGUUGUUUUUAUCUGCCUGCUGGGUUUUGGAGAGAGAGAGAGGGGGUUUUACACUUGGCUCAGCCAAAUGAGCUCCUAGCCAUGAGCUGGCAGUCAUGUGAGCUGGCAAAAGGUAGCAGAGAGAGGACUUGUGACACAGCAAUUUGUGAGGCUGGUGUCCCUUUGAUGGAGGGGAGGGUGGCUGACUGUGGGGCACUGUGUUCUGCCCCCCAUGGCGGCUGGUCUCAUCCAGUCCACCAGCAGACCCUCUGCUCCCUUCUUGUGGAGCACAAAAAACAUGACUAUCUUACAUGCACUUUUUUGUGCCCGUCAGUUAUGUAAGCUCAAUGUGCCUGUCUCCAUUUUUUCUGGGCUUUUCAAGGCGCCUGAGAAUGUGUGUGCAAAGACCUGAACUUUUAGAGAAAAGGGCUUGUUAGUGCUACCACAGAGGGAGAGAGCAGAACAUGCCCUCAAACCCUUAAUUAGCCAGCAGAGACUGCAUGGGGCUGAGGUUUGUGGCACCAAAGAGUUGGACAUUGCUUUGUAGGGCAGUUGCUCCCAGACCAACACACUCCUAAGACAUAAGGAACAUGGUGGUUUGUGUAUAUCCAGGCAUUUUAUUGAGAAACCAGAUGUAGGAACUGAGGAACUGUGUGCUGAGGUCCUGUCCUUGCUUCUUAUACAUGGAAAAAAUAAAUGAAACAUGCAGUGUUGUGGUA